rnacentral:rRNA from 1 species
UACGUAGGGUGCGAGCGUUAUUCGGAAUUACUGGGCGUAAAGCGUGCGCAGGCGGUCUCGCAAGUCCGAUGUGAAAUCCCCGGGCUCAACCUGGGAACUGCGUUGGAAACUACGAGGCUGGAGUACGGCAGAGGGGGGUGGAAUUCCACGUGUAGCAGUGAAAUGCGUAGAUAUGUGGAGGAACACCGAUGGCGAAGGCAGCGCCCUGGGCUAGUACUGACGCUCAUGCACGAAAGCGUGGGGAGCAAACAGG